rnacentral:rRNA from 1 species
AUUGAACGCUGGCGGCAUGCCUUACACAUGCAAGUCGAACGGCAGCACGGGGGCAACCCUGGUGGCGAGUGGCGAACGGGUGAGUAAUAUAUCGGAACGUACCCUGGAGUGGGGGAUAACGUAGCGAAAGUUACGCUAAUACCGCAUACGAUCUAAGGAUGAAAGUGGGGGAUCGCAAGACCUCAUGCUCCUGGAGCGGCCGAUAUCUGAUUAGCUAGUUGGUGGGGUAAAGGCCUACCAAGGCAUCGAUCAGUAGCUGGUCUGAGAGGACGACCAGCCACACUGGGACUGAGACACGGCCCAGACUCCUACGGAGGCAGCAGUGGGGAAUUUUGGACAAUGGGGGCAACCCUGAUCCAGCAAUGCCGCGUGAGUGAAGAAGGCCU